GGUCUUCCUCCCGCACCCGGGGCCUCGGCCAGACAGACGCCCGGGCAGAAUGGCGACGGGCCCGAGUCGGUCUCAGCUCCCAACGCUCCGUUACCCCUCUACGGUCCGCUGCCCCCGCGCGGUCCGGCUCUGUCCGUCCACCCACACUCACCCCACCGCGGAGCAGCCCUGAAUCACCCGCGGCGAAGAUGCGCGACCCCUGGCCUUAGCUCGCGUCGCGUAGCUGCAGUUCCGGGCGGCGCUGUGAACUGCGCUCUGGCGUGGGGUUUAAGGUGUGUUCAACCAGUCCUUCGAAGGGGGCAAGGCUGGCGGGGAGACAGUCUUGACUGCACUGGAAUCCUCAGCAACCCAGGAUUCUCAGCCGCCUAGGUGGCCCGAGGCAGGGUUGGAAGCGGAUGCACUUGAUACUCACGGAGAGCGACAUGAAGCUGCGCUGCCACACAACCAAUGCAAGUACUGGGAUGCAAUCACUGGACAUCUUUCACUAGCCUGGGGCUUUCUCGGAGCUCCCUUCCACCCCACCCCCGCUUCGCUGGUCCCCGAACAAUCCUAAGGCAUCCUCGCCAUACCAUUAGAAUGAAGGGAGGCCACAGAGGCCUGGCUGAAGGACUUGAUUCAUGGGCAGAGCCCAGUCUACAAGCCUUCUGACACUUUUCGACAAAGUGCAAAAUAAAGCGGUGAGAGACAGGACAGACAUCACGGAGAGUCUGAUUCUGCGGAGGCCCUGGAGUUGCUGAGAGGACAAUGGAUGCUGGUCAGCUGGCGCUGAAGAGUCAGCUAUGACUAAGAAGAGACCAGCAUUGCCGAGGUGAGUCUUCUGUGAAGUGUUUCCUCAGGGUCAGCACACAGAAGCUGUGGUCCCGAGGCUUCAAUGGCGUACUUCCUGCUGGUGACCAAAUUUGGUAGUGUAAGAGUCACCCAGGUAGUACUGGUUUUGAAAGCAUGAAGGGGCCAUGGAGGGCAGCUAAGGCUUGGCACUGUGAGAGCCCAGGAGAGGCUGUUGGUGAAGGUGCAGCCAGAGUAGCCGUGGAAGUCCCAGAACUAAAAGGGUCAUGCAGAGAAGUUGAGGCUUUGCACCAUCAAGACAGCCCAGGAAAGGCUAUUGGUGAAGGUGCAGCCCAGUUGCAGCAGAAGACCCCAGCAUUUUGGAAAUGCCAGUACCAUGGGAUGACCACCAAGAACAGCAGUGGAGUGGAGCCACCUGGCCUAGAUGCCAAGCUUGUGUGCACAGAAGGCGAAGCUGGAGAAGAGACCAAACCACUUUAGGAGCCCAGAAGAUUGUGAGUGAAUCCCAGAUACUGGACAUUGAGUUAUUUGCACUGCUGGAGUUUGGUUUUGCUUGUUCAGAUUGUGACUGUGGCCCUGGUUCUUCCCUCUUGAAGUGAGAAAGCAUUUAGCUUAUUUUUAUUUUACAGGAGUCCACCAUUGAGAAACUUUGAAUCUUUAAAAGAGAUUUUGGAUUUUAAAAGACACUCUGAACUUUAACAGAGACUGAAGUUUUAAAGUGCUACACUGUGGGACUUUUAAGUUUGUAAUUUGUUUUACACUUGUGAUGUUUACUAUCUGAGGUCUUGGGAAUAAACAAAAAAAGGUUAUGUCUUCAAAAA